rnacentral:rRNA from 1 species
AACGAACGCUGGCGGCAUGCCUAACACAUGCAAGUCGAACGAACCCUUCGGGGUUAGUGGCGCACGGGUGCGUAACGCGUGGGAAUCUGCCCUUUGCUUCGGAAUAACAGUUAGAAAUGACUGCUAAUACCGGAUGAUGUCUUCGGACCAAAGUUUAUCGGCAAAGGAUGAGCCCGCGUAGGAUUAGGUAGUUGGUGGGGUAAAGGCCUACCAAGCCGACGAUCCUUAGCUGGUCUGAGAGGAUGAUCAGCCACACUGGGACUGAGACACGGCCCAGACUCCUACGGGAGGCAGCAGUGGGGAAUAUUGGACAAUGGGGGAAACCCUGAUCCAGCAAUGCCGCGUGAGUGAUGAAGGCCUUAGGGUUGUAAAGCUCUUUUACCAGGGAUGAUAAUGACAGUACCUGGAGAAUAAGCUCCGGCUAACUCCGUGCCAGCCGCCGCCGUAAAAC